GGUUGUGGCUCAGUGGUAGAGCGCUCUCCUAGCAUGCGCGAGGACCUGGGUUUGAUCUCAGCACCA
rnacentral:tRNA from 1 species